rnacentral:tRNA from 2 species
UGUGGGUUAGUUAAACGGUAUAAUGACUGACUCAUGAUCGGUCGUUCUAGGUUCAAUUCCUGGACCCGCGU